rnacentral:rRNA from 1 species
AGCGUAGGCGGACAUUUAAGUCAGGGGUGAAAUCCCGGGGCUCAACCUCGGAAUUGCCUUUGAUACUGGGUGUCUUGAGUACGAGAGAGGUGUGUGGAACUCCGAGUGUAGAGGUGAAAUUCGUAGAUAUUCGGAAGAACACCAGUGGCGAAGGCGACACACUGGCUCAUUACUGACGCUGAGGCUCGAAAGCGUGGGGAGCAAACA